CCUACGGGGGGCAGCAGUGAGGAAUAUUGGUCAAUGGGCGCGAGCCUGAACCAGCCAAGUAGCGUGAAGGAUGACUGCCCUACGGGUUGUAAACUUCUUUUAUAAAGGAAUAAAGUGUGGAAUGUGUGCCUUUUUUCAUGUACUUUAUGAAUAAGGAUCGGCUAACUCCGUGCCAGCAGCCGCGGUAAUGCGGAGGAUCCGAGCGUUACCCGGAUUUGUUGGGUUUAAAGGGAGCUUAGAUGGGUUGUUAAGUCAGUUGUGAAAGUUUGCGGCUCAACCGUAAAAUUGCAAUUGAUACUGGCAGUCUUGAGGACAGGUGGGGUAGGCUGAAUUCGUGGGG
rnacentral:rRNA from 1 species